UACGUGGGACCCAAGCGUUAUCCGGAAUUACUGGGCGUAAAGAGUUGCGUAGGUGGCAAAGUAAGUUGGUAGUGAAAGCCUGGGGCUCAACCCCUUCAACAUUAUCAAAACUGCUUAGCUAGAGGAUGAGAGAGGUCGCUGGAAUUUCUAGUGUAGGAGUGAAAUCCGUAGAUAUUAGAAGGAACACCGAUGGCGUAGGCAGGUGACUGGCUCAUUCCUGACACUAAGGCACGAAAGCGUGGGGAGCGAACGGG
rnacentral:rRNA from 1 species